UACAGAGGGGGCAAGCGUUAUUCGGAAUUAUUGGGCGUAAAGGGCUCGUAGGCGGUCUGUCACGUCGGGAGUGAAAACUCGGGGCUCAACCCCGAGCCUGCUUCCGAUACGGGCAGACUAGAGGUAUGCAGGGGAGAAUGGAAUUCCUGGUGUAGCGGUGAAAUGCGCAGAUAUCAGGAGGAACACCGGUGGCGAAGGCGGUUCUCUGGGCAUUACCUGACGCUGAGGAGCGAAAGUGUGGGGAGCGAACAGG
rnacentral:rRNA from 1 species